GCUAUUUCUUGGGCUGCCCCCGUGGCAUAUGGAGGUUCCCAGGCUAGGGGUCGAAUCGAAUCAGAGCUUAGCUGCCAGCCUACACCAGAGCCACAGCAAUGCGGGGUCCGAGCCGCGCGUCUGCAACCUACACCAGGGCUCACAGCAACGCCGGAUCCUUAACCCACUGAGCAAGGGCAGGGACCGAACCCGCAACCUCAUGGUUCCUAGUCGGAUUCGUUAACCACUGCACCACGACGGGAACUCCCUAGUCAGGUUCUUAACUCGCUGAGCCAUGAUAAGAACUCUUAUCCUGUCUCCUUUUUAAUUUUUUUUUAUUUUUUGCUUUUUAGGGCUGCACCUGUGGCAUAUGGAAGUUCCCAGGCUAGGGGUCCAGUUGGAGCUACAGCUGCCGGCCACAGCCACAGCAACUCAAGAUCCAAGCCACAUCUGAGACCUGCACCACAGCACACAACAACUCUGGGUCCUUAACCCACUGAACGAAGCCAGAGAUCGAACCUGCAACCUCAUGGUUACUAGUUGGCUUUGUUUCCACUGAGCCACUACAGGAACUCCCUGUGUACUUUUUUUUAAAGCCAAUCUUGAGAUAUCUUUAAAUUUGUUCAUCCUUUUUACUUAUGUGUCAACUACCUCAUCCAGCUUCCUGUCUGGAAUCUGCCUUCAUCUAGGGCACUGGUUCUAACUGAAUGGAAUAAGACCAUCUGGAAAACGGCCCCUCAUCCAGCCAACUGCUCUGGUCAGACGCCUGGAAGUCAGACACCCUUGACCUCUCAUCUACUCUCUCAGCCUCGUAUCUAAUUCACUGGCAGGUGUCCUAUCAUCUCUGCCUCCCCAACAUAUCCCAAAUCUAUACAUUUAUUUUUUCCCAUCUCCACGGCCACUGCUCUAACCCAAGUCACUAUCAUCUUUAACUUCUGGGCACCUAUGAUAGUCUCUGCCUGUCUCCCUUUUCUUGCCCCCUCUGAUCCAUCCUCCAUCCAGCAGCCAGAGCAAUGUUUUUACUCUAUUGUUUUAUUAUGUUUCUCCAUCACCAGACUCGAGGACAAGCCAUGACUGUUUAACUCACAGUCAUGGCCCAUCCUAUUUACCUAUUUACAUGAAAUACUAAACACAGCAUGCAGCAGACUCUUAACCAAGAAUAAGCAAAUUUACAAAGAUUAGGCUCUCAUUCUUAAGUCAUAUGAGACUCUGCCAAAUAUCUUGCUAAAAUCAAGGUACAUGCUGCCUAAGCAAGUUCUGUGACCUACUAGUUCACUCUUAUCUCAAAAGAUGAGGUUAGUUUAGCUUGACUAUUAGGAAAACUGUAUUCACCCCCCACGGAGCAAUUAUUUUCUGCAGUAAUUGCACAAAAUAAGCUAUUUAAUAAUUUGCUCUAGAAUUACUCCUGGGAUCUACUUUUUUUUUUUUUUUAACCACUUUUGGAUGCUGGGAUGAAAUUUGCCCAUUUCCAGACCUCUGGCAAUACUCCAUGAUUUCUUAAAUAUUCCUAGAUAUUUCUACUCUAUUUGCUGCAGGAAAAUUUUGCCUCCUACUUGAACAAUCAACAUUUAAACAUCUAUUUAAGAUUCUUUAUGUCAUUGUUUUGAAGCAUAUAAUCAAAGGAGUAAUUACGGUCCUUUGCUCUUCUACAAUUUACCCAAAGAUUAUGUGGAUUAUGUCAUAAUAAAUUUCAUUUUCAAGGUAUGAAUGAAAUGGAGAGCUGUGACAAUAAAUGAAACGACCCGCUUAAGGUGAUUUUGAAGUGUUUUAUAUCACGGUUGUGGUAGUGAUUUUACCACUCAAUUUGGAUAAGCUCAUCAAAUCCUAUCUCUAAAUUGGAGGAUUUUAUUAUUUAUUCAUAACUUUAUAAAUUAUUAUUCGUAAUUUUAUAAAUUAUAAAAUGCUUCCAAAAAAAGAAAAAACCUAACCCCACAGCACUUUAAGGGAGACGAGUCAUAUAGCCCAGCUAUAUGACAAGAAAUCAUGUGACAUGUUCCAGCCGAGCGUCAGAGCCCCUGAAAGAGGUGAAGAUGAAGCAGCGUCACUGCUGUGGCCCCAGAAAUAGCUCGGAAGGAGGUGUUCAAGCUGCCACGCAGGUGAGUGCUUUCCACUCUUCUAGGACUCACUCCCCUCAAAAAAGCAGGAACCCUUACCCACCCUCGCAGCAUGCCUCUCCUGUCUGCUCCACUGCCGGCGUUUAAAGCAGCUGUUCUCAAGCUUCAACGUGUGUGUAUGCAUCUCCUCGGGAUCUUGUUAAAUAAAGAUUCUAAUUCAGCCAGUGUGAGCUGGGACCUGAGACCCUACAUCUCUCACAAGCCCCCAGGGAAUGCUGACGCUGCUGGUUCAUGGGCUGCGCUUAGAGCUGAUGGGUUGAAAGCCAGGAGCUCUGGCCCCCUGGCAUAUCCAUUCAGUGUUUCUGUUUCUCGUGAUUGCUGGGACUAGUGGCACUGCAUCACCUGGCACCCCGUCUGCAGGUGAUCAGCGUGACUACCUGACACAGACUCCCCUGCUGUUCGGGUGAGAAGGCGCUGAAGGGAAGCGUUUACCGCUGAAGCAUCAUCACUCUCGGUAUGAAAGCAAGUCUUGCCUGCUUCCUUUGGUCGACUUCCUAAGGGGAUUACUUGCUUCGCCAGGAUAUAUAUAUUUAAAUUACUUUCAAUUCCACAUCCCUCUCCCACCCUGCCACGUUGUCCCUUCCAAAUGGCGCCUGAGGCUCACUGCCUUGUAUAAUUCUUCCUUUUCUACACCUGGUUAGAAGUAUAAAAUUUGUACCACCCUCCUGAUCAGAAUAAUGCAUAUAAACUCCCUCACUGGGGGAAAAACAGUCUUUUAUUGCCUGUGCUGCUUUUACCUAACAUCCUCUCCCACCAAGCCACAGCCCCUCACUCCCCAGCUCAAGGACGUAGAUGCUGGUCGAGGCAGAAUGUUUACAAGAAAAUGGAACCCUCCAGGACAAGGGACUUGGACAAACGGUAGGAAGCAUACUGUCUUCUUGCCAAUCCUCUUUCUCCAGCCCUGUGUGCUAACCUCUCCCUCCCCUGUCUGCCCCCACCAACAGCUUGCGCCCACAUUUCCAGGCUGUCUCCUCCCCCUGCACUUUCCUCCUCCAGUUUUUCACACACUCUUACCUCCCCCCUAACUCUCCCCGCCCUCCAUUCCACUCCCGACUCUUCUUACUUAUGAGAAACAUCUCUAGGAAGUGAAUAAAGAUUUUAAAACACUGCUGAAGAGAGGAGAGUGCCAGCCGGGGAUGAAGGAAGGGCUGGAUGAGGAUGGAUUGAAAGUGUCAUCCGUCUGCAUGGUGAGCGAGCUCAGCUUCAGGACGGAGAGAACUUCAGGGGCGGGAAAGAAAGGGGCGUGAGUGAAGGACCAUGACCUCUCAGUGGGACAGGGAAGGAAGCAGAGCCCAGAGGUCCUCAGUGACAUGCAAGGAUGAGAGGGACACAGUGGGAGUCUCUGGAGGGAAGGAGAGCAGGAGGUGGUCGGAAGCAGGCUGUUUGGACAGUAAGUGCAGAGGGGUGGUGCAGCCUGGUUCCUAGCCUGGGAAGCGAUGCCAGUGGGAGAGGCUUAAAGUGGAGACGAAAGGGGACACAGAGCAAGUUUAUUUAAUGAACGCUUAGAUGGGAGAAGACACGCCUGAAAAGGAGGAAAGAGGGACGAGCUGUUCUGACUCUCUAAUUCAUGUGAAAAUUUUAAAUAUUUUGACAAAUUCAAAAUUAUCUUUUCCAUUUAAAUGCACUUCCUAGAGCUUUUCUUUACUUCAGUGAGAACUCAAUGUAACUAACAAAACACUUUCUUCAUCAUCACCACUAAGAAAUUUAGGGACAUUCACUAUGUCAGGCCCACAGCGAGCACUUUCUACAAUAUUUCACUUAUGAGUAGCGCUGUUGCUACCUAUCUUACAAAUAAGGAAACUGAAGUACAGCAAGGCUGAGUAUUUUGUCCAACAUCACAAAGCUGGCAUCAGAGCUCUCAAACCCUGCUAAUCUGACUCCAAAGUCCUUAGCCACAAUGCACUGUCAUCUUCCAAAAUCAGAUGUCCACAUCUGAUGACAGUGUCAAAAGCAAGACCCAAGCAGAGAACCAAAAAACUUCGAGUAAAACACAUCAAAAUCUUAACAGAGCUUGUUUUUGACAGCAAGAUGCUGGGUGAUUUCUUUAUACUUUAUUUAUACACUUUCUUUGACUGUACCCAAGGCAUAUGCAAGUUCUUGGGCCAGGGACUGAAUCCGAGCCACAGCUGCAACCUACACCACAGCUGUGGCAAUGCUGGAUCCUUAACCCACUGCGCCACAGUGGGAACUC
rnacentral:lncRNA from 9 species